CGACGACUGUUGGGCAAUCGGGGAGGGUCGAUGAGCCGAGACUGCGUCUUCCUGAACCGGUCGAUGUGCCGCAGCCGCAGCCCCAUCAUCAUCCAUGGAGAGAUAUUUGUUUUCAAACACGGCCGCAGGUGUUCCACCAUCCAAAUCAAUACAACAGCCAGCACCGUUUCACAACCAAGCGACUCAACCUGCAGUUAGAACAGCUGAGAACCUCUCGCUGCUGCUGCCGCAGGGAAGAUGAUAGAGCUCAUUUAUAUGGUAGAGUAUCAUGGCAAACUUUAAGCGGGGUUGUAUAUGGCGAGCAGGAGAUGGAACACCAGUAAACAUUUGGGAUGAUGCUUGGAUCCCCAUAAACCCAACAAAAAAUGAUGACACCGCGAGGAUCUAUUCUUGUUACAAUGGCGAGUGAUCAAAUAAACACUAUGGCAGAUUUAUGGGGCGAAGAUCUAACAUGUUCAUUGUAUUGGUCGGUGGAUGCAAGUCGUAUUCUUAGAAAUACCACUGCCUAUGAUUUUGUUGCA